rnacentral:rRNA from 1 species
UAGGGAAUCUUCGGCAAUGGACGAGAGUCUGACCGAGCAACGCCGCGNGGUGAAGAAGGUUUUCGGAUCGUAAAACUCUGUUGGUAGAGAAGAACGUUGGUGAGAGUGGAAAGCUCAUCAAGUGACGGUAACUACCCAGAAAGGGACGGCUAACUACGUGCCAC